rnacentral:tRNA from 1 species
GGGGAGUUGGCUCAGUGGUAGAGCGCUUGCCUUUCAUGCAUGAGGCCCUGGGUUCGAUUCCCCAGCACCACA